UACGGAAGGCAGCAGUGGGGAAUCUUGCGCAAUGGGCGAAAGCCUGACGCAGCCAUGCCGCGUGAAUGAUGAAGGUCUUAGGAUUGUAAAAUUCUUUCACCGGGGACGAUAAUGACGGUACCCGGAGAAGAAGCCCCGGCUAACUUCGUGCCAGCAGCCGCGGUAAUACGAAGGGGCUAGCGUUGCUCGGAAUUACUGGGCGUAAAGGGAGCGUAGGCGGACAUUUAAGUCAGGGGUGAAAUCCCGGGGCUCAACCUCGGAAUUGCCUUUUGAUACUGGGUGUCUUGAGUAUGAGAGAGGUAUGUGGAACUCCGAGUGUAGAGGUGAAAUUCGUAGAUAUUCGGAAGACACCAGUGGCGAAGGCGACAUACUGGCUCAUUACUGACGCUGAGGCUCGAAAGCGUGGGGAGCAAACAGGGAUUUAGAUACC
rnacentral:rRNA from 1 species